UACGUAGGGCGCAAGCGUUGUCGGGAAUUAUUGGGCGUAAAGAGCUCGUAGGCGGUUUGUCGCGUCUGCUGUGAAAACCUAAGGCUCAACCUUGGGCUUGCAGUGGGUACGGGCAGACUAGAGUGCGGUAGGGGUGACUGGAAUUCCUGGUGUAGCGGUGGAAUGCGCAGAUAUCAGGAGGAACACCGAUGGCGAAGGCAGGUCACUGGGCCGCAACUGACGCUGAGGAGCGAAAGCAUGGGGAGCGAACAGG
rnacentral:rRNA from 1 species